GGUGCACAUGAAUGUCCUGGUUGAUGCUCUCAAGAGCAUCAACAAUGCUGAGAAGAGGAGUAAAUGCCAGGUUCUUAUUAGGCCGUUCUCCAAAGUCAUCAUCCAGUUUCUAACUGUGAUAAUGAAGCAUGGCUACAUUGGUGAUUUGAAACCAUUGAUGAUCACAGAGCUGAGAAAAUAGUGAACCUCACAGGCAGGUUAAACAAGUGUGGAGUGAUCAGCCCCAGAUUUGAUG
rnacentral:lncRNA from 1 species